AGCGAACGCUGGCGGCAGGCCUAACACAUGCAAGUCGAACGGGGUGGCGGACGGGUGAGUAACACGUGGGAACGUGCCCUUUGGUUCGGAACAACUCAGGGAAACUUGAGCUAAUACCGGAUGCCAUUGGAGCGGCCGGCGUCUGAUUAGCUAGUUGGUGAGGUAAAGGCUCACCAAGGCGACGAUCAGUAGCUGGUCUGGGAGGAUGAUCAGCCACAUUGGGCCUGGGACACGGCCGAAACUCCUACGGGAGGCAGCAGUGGGGAAUCUUGCGCAAUGGGCGAAAGGCUGACGCAGCCAUGCCGCUUGAAUGAUGAAGGUCUUAGGAUUGUAAAAUUCUUUAACCGGGGACGCGGUACCCGGAGAAGAAGCCCCGGCUAACUUCGUGCCAGCAGCCGCGGUAAUUC
rnacentral:rRNA from 1 species